rnacentral:rRNA from 1 species
AUUGAACGCUGGCGGCAGGCUUAACACAUGCAAGUCGAGCGAGCGGCGGACGGGUGAGUAAUGUCUGGGAAACUGCCUGCUGGUGGGGGAUAACUACUGGAAACGGGAGCUAAUACCGCAUACCAUCAGAUGUGCCCAGAUGGGAUUAGCUAGUAGGUGGGGUAAUGGAUCACCUAGGCGACGAUCCCUAGCUGGUCUGUGAGGAUGAAAAGCCACACUGGAUCGGAGCUGCGGUCCAGACUCCUACGGGAGGCAGGAUAGGAGAAAAUUGCACAAUGGGCGCGAGCCUGAUGCAACCAUGCCGCGUGUGUGAAGGAGGCCUUCGGGUUGGAAAGCACUUUCAGCGAGGAGGCGUUACUCGCAGAAGAAGCACCGGCUAACUCCGUGCCAGCAGCCGCGGUAAUUC